GUGCUUGCUCUGGCAGCACAUACACUAAAAUUGGAAUGAUACAGAGAAAAUUAGCAUGGCCUCUGCACAAGGAUAACACACAAAUUCAUGAAGCGUUCCAUAUUUUU